AUUCAUGGGAAAAUGCGGCAGCAUCAACCACGGUGCUGUUGUUGUGGUUUGCAACUGGUUGGCCUCCGAUCAUAAUUUACAAAGUACCAAAAGAAUUGACGAAUAAACGAUGCAAAUAAACAGGAACGUACGAAUCAACGGUGACGAAGGCGGAAGGAAAAACGUAGGGAGAAUGACCAAGGAACAGCCCCCUACCCCCCCCCCCCCGCCUCAUUCGAGUCUCAGACCAAAGACCCGCCCCCUGACUCAAGUGAGCAUGCGCGGCGCACGCACUGCGUGAGCACGCAGGCCAAUGUAGCUACGGAAGUUACUCUGCUAGCACGAUUGAUUCGGUGUUGUUUUGUUCCCUGUUUUAUCUCGAGAGCUGUUCACUUCCUUCUUUUUAACUUUUGUUGCUAUAGUGAAGUAAAAAAAAUCCGGCCAAGGAAACUAAGGCUGCUGUGUGUCUAGACAACAAGUUGAGGCUUUGCGUGUGGCAGUGUUGCAAGUAAGGAAAGUAGCUAUUGGCUGUCCUGACAGUCGAUUCAAAUCCCGAAAUGACGCCUCAUCGCAUCGUUGACCGUGUUGGAAUGAACGCUGUAGGAGAGGGAUCACGUCGCGGGAAGGACAAAAGACCCUCCUUUUAGUGCUGCGAGAGGACCAGGCCACCUGUGAGCACCCGCUGCACGUUGACAACGAUCGUCCCAAAAAGACACGAGCCACGCAGCGGCAAAAUGAAUUCACCUGGCUCGGGAAACGUCGAGGAAGGCACGCGCUGCGAUUCGUGCCAAAAGCAACGCCUCCCAGCACAGCAGCGGGCAACGACGACCUCCCUUUUGGUGGGACAGCCAUCGACCAACUGCAGAUGCAUGCAGGUGUGUUGCGCAUUGUGUCGUCGGAUAUUUUGCUGGUCGUUUUUCACCCCAAAUUGGUGUCCGUCAGCGAUGGACGCGUGGACAAUGAAGGCUGUUGAACAUCGGUCCACUCGCAGAGUCUUUUUCUAAGGUGAGGCGAGGCGAGGCCGAGGCGAGGAGGAUGAGCUCCACGGGGGAUGCGGCUCGCGUUGAAACCGCCCCGGCCGCACCGCUGCCGUCCUCUCUCUUCGGGGCCCGGAGAGAACGCGGAGGCCGGCCCGAUCGGACGGCUCUCCUGGCCGGAGACGGGCGGAGCCGAGCUUGGAUGAGGAGGCGAUGCGAAGGAAAGGGCUGAGAGGGAAGCCGACGGGACAACGGGGAGGUCUGUGAGGUGGCCCUUUUUGUCCGCGUGCCACUGAUAGGAUUGGCUGAACCGGUUGGCUUUUAAUCGGAUGGUGUGCGCUCACCUGCGGCGUCGGCGUGCGUUGGCUUGAAGCACCACCUAGUGCUCUCUUCUGGCACCUCACCUGUGAAGUCAAGCGUCAGAAUUUGGAGAAACCUAUUUGUGAUUUGCAGAGCAUU